rnacentral:rRNA from 1 species
AAAUUGAAGAGUUUGAUCAUGGCUCAGAUUGAACGCUGGCGGCAGGCCUAACACAUGCAAGUCGAACGGUAACAGGAAGAGGCUUGCUUCUUUGCUGACGAGUGGCGGACGGGUGAGUAAUGUCUGGGAA